AUAUCUAGGUUGGAUGGUUGAGGGC
rnacentral:piRNA from 1 species